CAGUAGCCACGGUAAUACGGAGGGUGCAAGCGUUAAUCGGAAUUACUGGGCGUAAAGCGCACGCAGGCGGUCUGACAAGUCAGAUGUGAAAUCCCCGGGCUUAACCUGGGAACUGCAUUUGAAACUGUCAGGCUGGAGUCUUGUAGAGGGGGGUGGAAUUCCAGGUGUAGCGGUGAAAUGCGUAGAGAUCUGGAGGAAUACCGGUGGCGAAGGCGGCCCCCUGGAAAAAGACUGACGCUCAGGUGCGAAAGCGUGGGGAGCAAACAGGAUUAGAUACCCCGGUAGUCCCUGUCUCUUAUAC
rnacentral:rRNA from 1 species